GACGAACGCUGGCGGCGUGCCUAAUACAUGCAAGUAGAACGCUGAAGAGAGGAGCUUGCUCUUCUUGGAUGAGUUGCGAACGGGUGAGUAACGCGUAGGUAACCUGCCUGGUAGCGGGGGAUAACUAUUGGAAACGAUAGCUAAUACCGCAUAAAAUUGAUUAUUGCAUGAUAAUUAAUUGAAAGAUGCAACUGCAUCACUACCAGAUGGACCUGCGUUGUAUUAGCUAGUUGGUGAGGUAACGGCUCACCAAGGCGACGAUACAUAGCCGACCUGAGAGGGUGAUCGGCCACACUGGGACUGAGACACGGCCCAGACUCCUACGGGAGGCAGCAGUAGGGAAUCUUCGGCAAUGGGGGGAACCCUGACCGAGCAACGCCGCGUGAGUGAAGAAGGUUUUCGGAUCGUAAAGCUCUGUUGUAAGAGAAGAACGGGUGUGAGAGUGGAAAGUUCACACUGUGACGGUAUCUUACCAGAAAGGGACGGCUAACUACGUGCCAGCAGCCGCGGUAAUACGUAGGUCCCGAGCGUUGUCCGGAUUUAUUGGGCGUAAAGCGAGCGCAGGCGGUUAGAUAAGUCUGAAGUUAAAGGCUGUGGCUUAACCAUAGUAUGCUUUGGAAACUGUUUAACUUGAGUGCAGAAGGGGAGAGUGGAAUUCCAUGUGUAGCGGUGAAAUGCGUAGAUAUAUGGAGGAACACCGGUGGCGAAAGCGGCUCUCUGGUCUGUAACUGACGCUGAGGCUCGAAAGCGUGGGGAGCAAACAGGAUUAGAUACCCUGGUAGUCCACGCCGUAAACGAUGAGUGCUAGGUGUUAGGCCCUUUCCGGGGCUUAGUGCCGCAGCUAACGCAUUAAGCACUCCGCCUGGGGAGUACGACCGCAAGGUUGAAACUCAAAGGAAUUGACGGGGGCCCGCACAGGCGGUGGAGCAUGUGGUUUAAUUCGAAGCAACGCGAAGAACCUUACCAGGUCUUGACAUCCCUUUGACCGCUCUAGAGAUAGAGUUUUCCUUCGGGACAGAGGUGACAGGUGGUGCAUGGUUGUCGUCAGCUCGUGUCGUGAGAUGUUGGGUUAAGUCCCGCAACGAGCGCAACCCCUAUUGUUAGUUGCCAUCAUUGAGUUGGGCACUCUAGCGAGACUGCCGGUAAUAAACCGGAGGAAGGUGGGGAUGACGUCAAAUCAUCAUGCCCCUUAUGACCUGGGCUACACACGUGCUACAAUGGCUGGUACAACGAGUCGCAAGCCGGUGACGGCAAGCUAAUCUCUGAAAGCCAGUCUCAGUUCGGAUUGUAGGCUGCAACUCGCCUACAUGAAGUCGGAAUCGCUAGUAAUCGCGGAUCAGCACGCCGCGGUGAAUACGUUCCCGGGCCU
rnacentral:rRNA from 1 species